CAGUAGCCGCGGUAAUACAAAGGGUGCAAGCGUUAAUCGGAAUUACUGGGCGUAAAGCGUGCGUAGGCGGUGAGUUAAGUCUGCUGUGAAAUCCCCGGGCUCAACCUGGGAAUGGCAGUGGAUACUGGCUCGCUAGAGUGUGUCAGAGGAUGGUGGAAUUCCCGGUGUAGCGGUGAAAUGCGUAGAGAUCGGGAGGAACAUCAGUGGCGAAGGCGGCCAUCUGGGACAACACUGACGCUGAGGCACGAAAGCGUGGGGAGCAAACAGGAUUAGAUACCCGCGUAGUCCCUGUCUCUUAUAC
rnacentral:rRNA from 1 species